rnacentral:rRNA from 1 species
GACGAACGCUGGCGGCGUGCUUAACACAUGCAAGUCGAACGGAAAGGCCCUGCUUUUGUGGGGUGCUCGAGUGGCGAACGGGUGAGUAACACGUGAGUAACCUGCCCUUGACUUUGGGAUAACUUCAGGAAACUGGGGCUAAUACCGGAUAGGAGCUCCUGCUGCAUGGUGGGGGUUGGAAAGUUUCGGCGGUUGGGGAUGGACUCGCGGCUUAUCAGCUUGUUGGUGGGGUAGUGGCUUACCAAGGCUUUGACGGGUAGCCGGCCUGAGAGGGUGACCGGGCACAUUGGGACUGAGAGACGGCGCAGUCUGCUACGGGAGGCAGCAGUGGGGAGUAUUGCACAGUGGGCGGAAGCCUGAUACAGAGGCGCCGCGUGCGGGAUGACGGCCUUCGGGUUGUGAACCGCUUUCGCCUGUGACGAAGCGUGAGUGACGGUAAUGGGUAAAGAAGCACCGGCUAACUACGUG